ensembl:snRNA U6 U6 spliceosomal RNA
GUGCUCACUCCAGUAGCACAUAGACUUGAAUUAGAACGAUACAGAGAAGAUUCUCAUGGCCCCCGUGCAAGGAUGACACAUAAAUUCGUGAAGUGUUCCAUAUUUUU